GGGGAAUAUUGGGCAAUGGAGGCAACUCUGACCCAGCCAUGCCGCGUGGGUGACGAAGGUCUUCGGAUUGUAAAGCCCUUUCGGCGGGGACGACGAUGACGGUACCCGCAGAAGAAGCCCCGGCUAACUUCGUGCCAGCAGCCGCGGUAAUACGAAGGGGGCUAGCGUUGUUCGGAAUUACUGGGCGUAAAGGGCGUGUAGGCGGCCCGCUAAGUCAGGUGUGAAAUUCCUGGGCUCAACCCAGGACGUGCACUUGAGACUGACGGGCUUGAGUCCGGGAGAGGAUGGUGGAACUCCCAGUGUAGAGGUGAAAUUCGUAGAUAUUGGGAAGAACACCCGUGGCGAAGGCGGCCAUCUGGACCGGUACUGACGCUAAGGCGCGACAGCGUGGGGAGCAAACA
rnacentral:rRNA from 1 species